rnacentral:rRNA from 1 species
GAUGAACGCUGGCGGCGUGCUUAACACAUGCAAGUCGAGCGGAGUUUUGUUGUAGCUUGCUACAAUGAUUCUUAGCGGCGGACGGGUGAGUAACGCGUGGGUAACCUGCCUUAUACUGGGGGAUAACGUAUUGAAAAGUACGCUAAUACCGCAUAAGCGCACAGAUCCGCAUGGAUCGGUGUGAAAAACUCCGGUGGUAUAAGAUGGACCCGCGUCUGAUUAGCUAGUUGGUGGGGUAACGGCCCACCAAGGCAACGAUCAGUAGCCGACCUGAGAGGGUGAUCGGCCACAUUGGGACUGAGACACGGCCCAAACUCCUACGGGAGGCAG